CUACGGAAGGUCCGGGCGUUAUCCGGAUUUAUUGGGUUUAAAGGGAGCGCAGGCGGAGAUGCAAGCGUGACGUCAAAUUUCGGGGCUCAACCCCGUCUCGCGUCGCGAACUGCGUCCCUUGGUUGCGGGAAGGGGAGGCGGAACUCGUGGUGUAGCGGUGAAAUGCAUAGAUAUCACGAAGAACUCCGAUCGCGAAGGCCGCCUUCCGGCCCGUCAACGACGCUCAUGCUCGAAGGUGCGGGUAUCAAACAGGAUGAGAUACCCUGGUAGUCCGCACAGUAAACGAUGGACACCCGCGGUUUGGCCUGUAUGGCUGAGCCGCCAAGCGAAAGCGUUAAGUGUCCCACCUGGGGAGUACGCCGGCAACGGUGAAACUCAAAUGAAUUGGCGGGG
rnacentral:rRNA from 1 species